rnacentral:rRNA from 1 species
UACGAAUCGUCCUAACGUUGUUCGGAUUUACUGGGUUUAAAGGGUGCGUAGGCGGUGCGUUAAGUCGGUGGUGAAAUCCUUUGGCUCAACCAGAGAAUUGCCGCUGAAACUGGCGUGCUCGAGGGAGGUAGAGGUGCAUGGAACUUCCGGUGGAGCGGUGAAAUGCGUUGAUAUCCUCAGGAACACCGGUGGCGAAAGCGGCUCACUGGAUCUCUUCUGACGCUGAGGCACGAAAGCUAGGGGAGCAAACGGGAUUAGAAACCCGAGUAGU